AGGAGUGUGAAUUUGGAAGACUGAAGAACUUAAAGGGAAUCCUGAACUCUUUGUAACUGAUACUGUGUCACCCAAGCUGGAGCACAAUGGCAUGAUCAUGGCUCACUGCAGCCUCUACCUCCUACACUCAAGUGAUCCUCCUGCCUCAGCCUCCUGAGUAGCUGGGACUUCAAGCAAGCAGCCACCACAUCUGGCUAACAAAAGAUACUCUUAUCUCUUGGGAAUUCUAAGGAUUUUGGAUGCUUAAUCUGGCCCCCGGGUAAAUUGCUCUGUGAUUCUUAACCUAAAUGGCAAUUAAACAAUCCUCUGGAUCCUGGAUCUUACUGAAUAUUCACUACUAAAGAGAUGACAAAAUUUCACUGAAGUGGGGAAUUAAAUGAAGACAAGGAUGCCAUGUUGAAUGAUCUGGCUUCUGCUUAUCAGUCCUGUUAUUGUUCCUUCCAACUACCUAAGAUAAACCAAACAGGUAAUUUAUAUUUCUCCCUAAAUACUUAAUCUCUGUCUAUAUUAUCAAUUCACUCUCACUCCUCCUACCAGUGGUUGCACUGUCCAAUAGGGCAGACACUGGGCACUUGAAAUGUGGCUAGUUUAAAUGGAGAUAUAUUAUAAACUUAAAAUAUAUGAUGAAUUUCUAUAACAUAAAAAGGGCACGUAAAAGAUUGUAACAAUUGAUAUGUGAUAUAAUUAU
rnacentral:lncRNA from 13 species